GGGCAUUCUGUUAUUGGGAUUGUCAUGGGUGAAGGGCUAAAUGCACUAUUCAGGACGACCAACCUAAAAUAAGAGAAGAGAUAGGACUGUAUAUACCAGUCCUUUCCAUCAUGGGCUCCUGUGGAAAAUGACCCCAGCUCAGCUCAGUAGUUGAUGGGACAUCUGAUUCAGGUUGGACCCAGCCCAGACAUCUGAUUCAAACAAUAUUCUUCUCCAGGAAUUUUGUAACCAGCACUGGUAAAGGGAGGGAAGUGCUCCCCAGUGGGGAGAGCUGCAGAAUGUGAGACUUGGAAACCAAAGGCCGCCAUGUUUUCUGUCUCAUGAUGGAAUCCAAUCUUCUUUGGCGGGGAAAAUAAAUGAAGCCAACACCAGACAACAUAUAUCAAGCAGGGGCCAUUGCUCCAGCCUGACUCCAGGAAUCAGCAGACAGCGCAGCCUCAUUCUCCACCUGCUCCCUGCAGUACAGCCUCAGAACCACACAGUUGCAGCCAACCAGCUCCUGACAUGGAACUUGAGCAACAAAUGCCCUUUGUUUUUGCAAGUCCCUGAGAUUUGGAAGUUGUUACACAGCAUUCUCUCAGCCAGAAGUGACUGACAUGGUAUCAUUGCAGUCUUGAUCAAUUUGCCCUAUGCAAAGUGUUUUUAUAUGCCAUGAAUUUCUGAAGAUAGAACUACUGUUAUUCCCCAUGCAGCAGCUGAGGAAACUGAGUCUUAGAAUGUAUAAACAACUUUCCCAAGGCUACUGAAAGUGAUGGGAAUCAAAUAUAUCUUUGCCUAACUCCAGAUCCCAUGCUUUUGAAGAUAUUUAUACUGCCUAAAGCUGUAACAGACUUUUCUAAUAGUCAUACAUGGCAUAUUUAGUUGCUCUCCAUGGGGAAAUAAUGACCUGACAUGGAAAAUAUUGGUGUACUUUAUUAUGAGAUUCUAAUAAGCAACCAUUAUACAUGUAUAUAAUAUAUACAUGCAACCUCUUAAGCUUAUGCCAUUCUGUAUGGAUGUUACUAGCUUGAAGAAAUUCUAAAGAGUAGGGAUAUUAAAAAUACUGAGCCAAUAAAGUAGGAUAAUUUUUUUAUUGUAGUCAAUUUUCAUUUAUAAUAUUAAAUUCUUGCACUCCCUUUCAAA
rnacentral:lncRNA from 1 species